rnacentral:rRNA from 1 species
UACGAAGGGGGCUAGCGUUGUUCGGAUUUACUGGGCGUAAAGCGCACGUAGGCGGAUUGUUAAGUGAGGGGUGAAAUCCCAGGGCUCAACCCUGGAACUGCCUUUCAUACUGGCAAUCUUGAGUCCGGAAGAGGUGAGUGGAACUCCUAGUGUAGAGGUGGAAUUCGUAGAUAUUAGGAAGAACACCAGUGGCGAAGGCGGCUCACUGGUCCGGUACUGACGCUGAGGCACGAAAGCGUGGGGAGCAAACAGG